AAUCCAUAGGUUAAUGAGGCGAACCGGGGGAACUGAAACAUCUAAGUACCCCGAGGAAAAGAAAUCAACCGAGAUUCCCCCAGUAGCGGCGAGCGAACGGGGAGGAGCCCAGAGCCUGAAUCAGCAUGUGUGUUAGUGGAAGCGUCUGGAAAGGCGCGCGAUACAGGGUGACAGCCCCGUACACAAAAGCGCAUGUGCUGUGAGCUCGAUGAGUAGGGCGGGACACGUGGUAUCCUGUCUGAAUAUGGGGGGACCAUCCUCCAAGGCUAAAUACUCCUGACUGACCGAUAGUGAACCAGUACCGUGAGGGAAAGGCGAAAAGAACCCCGGCGAGGGGAGUGAAAAAGAACCUGAAACCGUGUACGUACAAGCAGUGGGAGCACCCUUUGGGUGUGACUGCGUACCUUUUGUAUAAUGGGUCAGCGACUUAUAUUCUGUAGCAAGGUUAACCGAAUAGGGGAGCCGGAGGGAAACCGAGUCUUAACCGGGCGUUAAGUUGCAGGGUAUAGACCCGAAACCCGGUGAUCUAGCCAUGGGCAGGUUGAAGGUUGGGUAACACUAACUGGAGGACCGAACCGACUAAUGUUGAAAAAUUAGCGGAUGACCUGUGGCUGGGGGUGAAAGGCCAAUCAAACCGGGAGAUAGCUGGUUCUCCCCGAAAGCUAUUUAGGUAGCGCCUCGUGAAUUCAUCUCCGGGGGUAGAGCACUGUUUCGGCUAGGGGGCCAUCCCGGCUUACCAACCCGAUGCAAACUGCGAAUACCGGAGAAUGUUAUCACGGGAGACACACGGCGGGUGCUAACGUCCGUCGUGAAGAGGGAAACAACCCAGACCGCCAGCUAAGGUCCCAAAGUCAUGGUUAAGUGGGAAACGAUGUGGGAAGGCCCAGACAGCCAGGAUGUUGGCUUAGAAGCAGCCAUCAUUUAAAGAAAGCGUAAUAGCUCACUGGUCGAGUCGGCCUGCGCGGAAGAUGUAACGGGGCUAAACCAUGCACCGAAGCUGCGGCAGCGACACUGUGUGUUGUUGGGUAGGGGAGCGUUCUGUAAGCCUGUGAAGGUGUGUCGUGAGGCAUGCUGGAGGUAUCAGAAGUGCGAAUGCUGACAUAAGUAACGAUAAAGCGGGUGAAAAGCCCGCUCGCCGGAAGACCAAGGGUUCCUGUCCAACGUUAAUCGGGGCAGGGUGAGUCGACCCCUAAGGCGAGGCCGAAAGGCGUAGUCGAUGGGAAACGGGUUAAUAUUCCCGUACUUGGUGUUACUGCGAAGGGGGGACGGAGAAGGCUAUGUUGGCCGGGCGACGGUUGUCCCGGUUUAAGCGUGUAGGUGUGUGUUCCAGGUAAAUCCGGUUCACUUUAACACUGAGGCGUGACGACGAGGCACUACGGUGCUGAAGCAACAAAUGCCCUGCUUCCAGGAAAAGCCUCUAAGCAUCAGGUAACAUCAAAUCGUACCCCAAACCGACACAGGUGGUCAGGUAGAGAAUACCAAGGCGCUUGAGAGAACUCGGGUGAAGGAACUAGGCAAAAUGGUGCCGUAACUUCGGGAGAAGGCACGCUGACACGUAGGUGAAGUGAUUUACUCAUGGAGCUGAAGUCAGUCGAAGAUACCAGCUGGCUGCAACUGUUUAUUAAAAACACAGCACUGUGCAAACACGAAAGUGGACGUAUACGGUGUGACGCCUGCCCGGUGCCGGAAGGUUAAUUGAUGGGGUCAGCGCAAGCGAAGCUCCUGAUCGAAGCCCCGGUAAACGGCGGCCGUAACUAUAACGGUCCUAAGGUAGCGAAAUUCCUUGUCGGGUAAGUUCCGACCUGCACGAAUGGCGUAAUGAUGGCCAGGCUGUCUCCACCCGAGACUCAGUGAAAUUGAACUCGCUGUGAAGAUGCAGUGUACCCGCGGCAAGACGGAAAGACCCCGUGAACCUUUACUAUAGCUUGACACUGAACAUUGAGCCUUGAUGUGUAGGAUAGGUGGGAGGCUUUGAAGUGUGGACGCCAGUCUGCAUGGAGCCGACCUUGAAAUACCACCCUUUAAUGUUUGAUGUUCUAACGUGGACCCGUUACCCGGGUUGCGGACAGUGUCUGGUGGGUAGUUUGACUGGGGCGGUCUCCUCCUAAAGAGUAACGGAGGAGCACGAAGGUUGGCUAAUCCUGGUCGGACAUCAGGAGGUUAGUGCAAUGGCAUAAGCCAGCUUGACUGCGAGCGUGACGGCGCGAGCAGGUGCGAAAGCAGGUCAUAGUGAUCCGGUGGUUCUGAAUGGAAGGGCCAUCGCUCAACGGAUAAAAGGUACUCCGGGGAUAACAGGCUGAUACCGCCCAAGAGUUCAUAUCGACGGCGGUGUUUGGCACCUCGAUGUCGGCUCAUCACAUCCUGGGGCUGAAGUAGGUCCCAAGGGUAUGGCUGUUCGCCAUUUAAAGUGGUACGCGAGCUGGGUUUAGAACGUCGUGAGACAGUUCGGUCCCUAUCUGCCGUGGGCGCUGGAGAACUGAGGGGGGCUGCUCCUAGUACGAGAGGACCGGAGUGGACGCAUCACUGGUGUUCGGGUUGUCAUGCCAAUGGCACUGCCCGGUAGCUAAAUGCGGAAGAGAUAAGUGCUGAAAGCAUCUAAGCACGAAACUUGCCCCGAGAUGAGUUCUCCCUGAGACUUAAAGUCUCCUGAAGGAACGUUGAAGACGACGACGUUGAU
rnacentral:rRNA from 1 species